GACGAACGCUGGCGGCGUGCUUAACACAUGCAAGUCGAACGGAAAGGCCCUGCUCUUGUGGGGUGCUCGAGUGGCGAACGGGUGAGUAACACGCGAGUAACCUGUCCCUGACUUUGGGAUAACUUCAGGAAAAUGGGGCGAAUACCGGAUAGGAGCUCCUGCUGCAUGGUGGGGGUUGGAAAGUUUCGGCGGUUGGGGAUGGUCUCGCGGCUUAUCAGCUUGUUGGUGGGGUAGGGGCUUACCAAGGCUUUGACGGGUAGCCGGCCUGAGAGGGUGACCGGCCACAUUGGGACUGAGAGACGGCGCAGACUCCUACGGGAGGCAGCAGUGGGGAGUAUUGCACAGUAGGCGGGAGCCAGAUGCGGCAGCGCCGCGUGCGGAAUAACGGCCUUCGAGUUGUAAACCGCUUUCGCCUGUGACGAAGCGUGAGUGACGGUAAUGGGUAAAGAAGCACCGGCUAACUACGUG
rnacentral:rRNA from 1 species